UGGGGAAUUUUGCGCAAUGGGCGAAAGCCUGACGCAGCAACGCCGCGUGGGUGAUGAAAUCCUUCGGGAUGUAAAACCCUGUCAGCUGGGACGAAACGUCCCGCAAGGGAAAUUGACUGUACCAGCAGAGGAAGCCCCGGCUAACUCCGUGCCAGCAGCCGCGGUAAUACGGAGGGGGCAAGCGUUGUUCGGAAUUACUGGGCGUAAAGGGCGUGUAGGCGGUUGGGUAAGUCAGUUGUGAAAUCCCCAAGCUUAACUUGGGAACUGCAACUGAAACUGCUCAUCUAGAGUUCAGGAGAGGAGAGCGGAACUCCCAGUGUAGCGGUGAAAUGCGUAGAUAUUGGGAGGAACACCGGUGGCGAAGGCGGCUCUCUGGACUGAAACUGACGCUGAGGCGCGAAAGCUAGGGGAGCAAACGGG
rnacentral:rRNA from 1 species